rnacentral:rRNA from 1 species
ACGCUCGACACCUACGGGAGGCAGCAGUGGGGAAUAUUGCACAAUGGGGGAAACCCUGAUGCAGCGACGCCGCGUGAGCGAAGAAGUAUUUCGGUAUGUAAAGCUCUAUCAGCAGGGAAGAAACUGACGGUACCUGACUAAGAAGCACCGGCUAAAUACGUGCCAGCAGCCGCGGUAAUCUGAGCGGGCUGGCAAGGC